rnacentral:rRNA from 1 species
UACGUAGGGUGCAAGCGUUGUCCGGAUUCAUUGGGCGUAAAGGGUGCGUAGGUGGCGCUGUAAGUCGGGUGUGAAAUUUCGGAGCUUAACUCCGAAACUGCAUUCGAUACUGCGGUGCUUGAGGACUGGAGAGGAGACUGGAAUUCAUGGUGUAGCAGUGAAAUGCGUAGAGAUCAUGAGGAAGACCAGUGGCGAAGGCGGGUCUCUGGACAGUUCCUGACACUGAGGCACGAAGGCCAGGGGAGCAAACGGG